rnacentral:rRNA from 1 species
AGCCGCGGUAAUACGUAGGGUGCAAGCGUUAUCCGGAAUUAUUGGGCGUAAAGAGCUCGUAGGCGGUUUGUCGCGUCUGCUGUGAAAACCCGAGGCUCAACCUCGGGCCUGCAGUGGGUACGGGCAGACUAGAGUGCGGUAGGGGAGAUUGGAAUUCCUGGUGUAGCGGUGGAAUGCGCAGAUAUCAGGAGGAACACCGAUGGCGAAGGCAGAUCUCUGGGCCGUAACUGACGCUGAGGAGCGAAAGGGUGGGGAGCAAACAGGCUUAGAUACCCUGGUAGUCCACCCCGUAAACGUUGGGAACUAGUUGUGGGGACCAUUCCACGGUUUCCGUGACGCAGCUAACGCAUUAAGUUCCCCGCCUGGGGAGUACGGCCGCAAGGCUAAAACUCAAAGGAAUUGACGGGGACCCGCACAAGCGGCGGAGCAUGCGGAUUAAUUCGAUGCAACGCGAAGAACCUUACCAAGGCUUGACAUAUACGAGAACGGGCCAGAAAUGGUCAACUCUUUGGACACUCGUAAACAGGAGGUGCAUGGCC